CUGCGCCACAAGUGGCAAUCGCGUUUAUUGGGCCUAAAGCGUUCGUAGCCUGGCAAAACAGUCUUGGGUGAAAUCGUUGCGCUUAACAAAACGACGUGCUUGAGAUACUAUUUGUCUAGGGACCGGGAGGAGUCAAGGGUAUUCCAGAGGGAGCGGUAAAAUGUUGUAAUCUCUGGAGGACCACCUGUGGCGAAGGCGCUUGACUAGAACGGGUCCGACGGUGAGGAACGAAAGCUAGGGGAGCAAAACGGAUUAGAUACCCGAGUAGUCC
rnacentral:rRNA from 1 species